CUUUCUUUGCUGGCGACCGGCGCACGGGUGAGUAACACGUAUCCAACCUGCCCUUUACUCGGGGAUAGCCUUUCGAAAGAAAGAUUAAUACCCGAUAGCAUAAUGAUUCCGCAUGGUUUCAUUAUUAAAGGAUUCCGGUAAAGGAUGGGGAUGAGUUCCAUUAGGUUGUUGGUGAGGUAACGGCCCACCAAGCCUUCGAUGGAUAGGGGUUCUGAGAGGAAGGUCCCCCACAUUGGAACUGAGACACGGUCCAA
rnacentral:rRNA from 1 species